rnacentral:lncRNA from 1 species
CUGGGACUUGAGAUUCCAGGUACCAACAUGCUCUUCAGAUGACUCGUAACCUCGCUCUAGUCGUAGCAAUACAAACAAACAGGGUAUAGGCAAAAUUAACAACACACCAAACAUAAGAACAAACUAUAUAAGCAUAUUCUACGCGUUACUACGAGAUCGUGAGAACGAGAACCACUAAAAUCAGAGUUAUGGUUAAGGAGUUAUGAUUUUAUAGAGGAUUUAUGUAUUCAACACAAGAUUAAAUAGGAUAUUAAUUUUAAUGUGACUUUUAUGUUAAAACAGUGGCACUAAUUGGUAGACAAUAAUAUUAUAAAAUUAUAGAAAUUGGAAUGGAUUGAUUUGGACUUCAUAUGAAUUUUAUAUGAAUUAAACAAGUUCUAGCAUUUAUUUUGACAUUAAAAAAAUCAUUUUCUAAUUACUUUUACUGGAUUUUAUAAAUCUCGGGAUUGGGCACAUGAAAACAGAGAAGAGCAGGGACCUCUACAUAAAUGUUCCUAAGACACAGAGCCCCGGCGCAGUACUGCGGGUUAGUUAACACAUUUUCUAGGGUCUCUUAUAUAAAAAGUACACGGUGAAGGGGUAUUAGGCAUCUUCUAAUCACCACCGUACAGCACGAGAUCAACGGAUGCCGGCCUUCUUCUACCUCACAGCGUCCCGACACAGCCAACAACGCUCCAUGGCGGGAACUCCAUAGCUCGUCGCGGAUCUCCACUAAAAUACCGGUGAACCCCAGGCUCCAUCCGCGACAUACCCCGCCCCUAUCGGGUAACAAAACUGGCGGUUGAUUACUUCGCAGCGGAAGACGAAAAAAAACGGAGCUCACCAGAGAUUAGCGCGCCAGGAAAACUGCUCGCCACUGGUGACCCAUGGCCCGCGACGAAACGGACGCCGCCGAUGGGGACCUUUCUUCACUCUCUCUCUCUCCCGAUCUCUCGCUCCCCGCAACUUCUCAUCAAGGACUAGGCCAGACACAACACGAUCGAGUUCGAUGGCGGCGGCUGGGUUCUUC